CACGCCGGUGGCCCAGUAGCGUCGGCGUUCCGCCCGCCGGGGCGGAACGCCGUGACCGGUACGGGCGUCGUUCAGCGCCCCACCGGCGUGA
rnacentral:tRNA from 1 species